UCGUACAAAAUGUGAUGGGCGCGCUUGGGCUGUCGCUGACCCAAAAGGUCGUGCACGCCCAGGCGUUGUCCCCUUGCAUAACAAUCCAUCUCACCCUCUGUGCAUCACCGCGUGGGUUCCCUUCUCGGAGGGGGCUCGCGUUUUCACACACAAACCCCCCUUAUAAAAAGUGUAGAAUGACCUCAUGUAUGCGUUAACCCGCAAUCAAUA
rnacentral:misc_RNA from 1 species